rnacentral:rRNA from 9 species
GGCGUGGAGCCUGCGGCUUAAUUUGACUCAACACGGGGAAACUCAC